UGGCUUAUCGUACUCGGCCACACAAGUGAGAACAGAGCUAACUGAGGUUGCGGCAGGUGCAGGGCAGAGGGCCAGCGGGACUGGUUUUGGUUGUGAGGAAGGCAGUCAAUCCCACAACCCCUGGAGUCAGGCUUCAGACCCCCUGGAGCUGGAGUUAGAGGUGGCUGUGCGUGGGGACCUGGAUGCUGGAAGCCAAACUCCAGACCUCUUUGUUCCAUAAACUCCAGAUCUUUUAAAGUAGGAAACAAAAUGAAGAGCACACAAGAAAUGCUUUUCCCAGCCUUCUGGCCGCCUCAGUGCACACAGACCCGUGUGUCCUGCCUAGGGUCUGUCCCUGGAGGGCAGAGCUUGCAACAAGUCCGUAUCGUUGGCAAGGAGAAAACACAAGAUACCACAGCCGGGAUUUCUACAGCAGUUACAGCAGAAAAGGCAGAUGGGGAAGUUGCUGUCUCGCUUCCUUCUUCUCUGCAUCGGGAGCUGGGUAAAGAAGAUGAGUUCGAGGACCGAUCAUCAUCCACGCAGUGCUUCACAGAGCUCGACAGAGAACCUCUACCGCCCUCUCCUUAUUUCCAACAUGGCUCCACGUAUCAGACCCUGCAGUCCCCAAGGGUCUUGUGAUUGCCUUGAGUGGCUACAGGAAAACAGUGACCAUCACAGCUCUACGGACAGACUCACUGCAACUAGUAUGGCACAGGAUGCCCAGUCACGGCGCUAGUGAGGACCCAGGGCUCACACUGCCCCAAGAGGAGAAAUCAAGUGCCAACCCUCAAGUGCUGUGUGGUUAGGACGGAUGCACACUUGUUUCGCUGCUUGUCUGGUACACUUAUAAAACCUGGAGCCAACAGGCAAAA